UAACAAAGCUACCGGUGUCUGUGAAACACCAUGACCACGAACCACACAACCAGCAGCAGCUAGGAAACACAUGCUCCAAAACCACCACCAUCAGACUGAUCAACACAGUGACAGACCCCAAACACACCCACGCCUCAUCUUCUAACUCUCAAGCUGAGCGAAUGGUUGUUUUCAUGGAGCAACUAUAGACUGGAACUUCUUUUUCAGCUAUCAUACAGGAAUUAUAUAUAGAACAGCAGCCCUCAUCAAAAGGAAGUCUCUGCUCUUUCUCUACUCUACUAUUACUUCUCUGUGUGUUUUGGUUAGUCAACUGCUAGCUACCAGUGACAGUGAUAGACAAGGACAUACAGCCAGAGGAAACAGUCAAAUCCUUAUGGAGAUGUCUGGAGGUCCCUUCUCCUGCUUCUCCAAACAGAAAAUAGUCCUUCUCCAACCUCCACUAUGGUGUGGGUUUCCUCUGAUCAUCAACAAGAGAGUGGGGGACUCCGUGGAUCUGCUGGCAGGCUUAAUGAGGGGGCAUUUCAAAUCAUUGGAGUGGAAGUAUAGGGCAGUCACACCCUGAUCUGUUUCACCUGUCUUUGUGCUCGUCUCCACCCCCCACAAGGUGUCUCCCAUCUCCCCUCAUUAUCCCCUGUGUAUUUACACCUGUGUUCUCUGUUUGUCUGUUGCCAGUUUGUUUUGUUCGUCAAGCCUACCAGCGUUUUUUCCCUUGCUCCUGUCUAUUUUUAGUCCUGUUUUCUAGUUUUCCCAGUUUUGACCAUUCUGCCUGCCCUGACCCUGAGCCUGUCUGCCGUCCUGUACCUUGUCCCACCACAUUAGAUUAUUGACCUUUGCCUGCCCUGCCCUGAAUCCUGCCGUUCUGUACCUUUUGGACUCUGAUCUGGAUUACUGACCUCUGCCUGCCCUUGACCUGUCAUUUUGCCUGCACCCUGUUCUAGUAAUAAACUUUUGUUACUUCGA